GCUGCUAUUCCAGCUGAGGUGAAUCCUAUGCCGGCCAGAACGAAAGGAGCCCCGACCACGGCGCCCGCUGCACAUUGUCAAGAGCACAGCAGAGGAAACUGUGUCAUACCACUUCAGUAUGGAUCAUUCUUGAUAUAACGCGAAGCUAGUCAGCCACCCCAAUGCUCCUCCAGCGCUGCCCACAGCUGCAGUGGCUGCUCCUGACAGACCAGCUGCACCUACAGCAAGAUUACACUGGUUUAAUAUCAAGGUACAUGGAACGGCUUUUCACCUGCUGACUGCAAGACAGCCACAGCACUUCCUGCUGCCACUCCUCCUCCGUUAGCAAUCGCAGCAGCAGACAUCAUUUUAGCAGCAAUGGAGCCCGCCGCUAUUCCAGCUGAGGUGAAGCC